CGGAAAUAGAGUUGCAGGUUGGUAGCUCCUGCAUCCGUCGCAUAGACGGGUUCUUCCCAGCCACGG
rnacentral:ncRNA from 1 species